UACGUAGGGAGCAAGCGUUAUCCGGAAUUAUUGGGUGUAAAGAGUGCGUAGACGGGAUAACAAGUUGGUUGUGAAACCCCUCGGCUCAACUGAGGAACUGCAACCAAAACUAUUAUUCUUGAGUGCAGGAGAGGAAAGUGGAAUUCCUAGUGUAGCGGUGAAAUGCGUAGAUAUUAGGAAGAACACCGGUGGCGAAGGCGACUUUCUGGACUGUAACUGACGUUGAGGCACGAAAGUGUGGGGAGCAAACAGG
rnacentral:rRNA from 1 species